rfam:Sarcophilus harrisii ctg7180002245617, whole genome shotgun sequence.
GUGGGCUAUGGGGACAUGAGACCAGUGACGGUAGGGGGCAAGAUCGUUGGAUCUUUGUGUGCCAUUGCAGGUGUCCUCACCAUAGCUCUGCCUGUGCCCGUCAUUGUCUCCAAC